AAGGGAUUGGGAGAUAAUGUGCAGCAGAAAGAGUGUGAAAAGAUAAGACUUCUAGAAACCAAAAAUCCCAAGGGAAAUAGGUAUUAGGUGCGGCAAGGAUCUAGGGUUCUAGAAGAUAAUGCAAGGCAGAUUUUUAGGCUUCUAGAAAGGUUCCUAGGUGUCAUCUUGGUAGGAUAAGAUAAGGUCCUCUAGAAAUCCCAUUUUAAGCAUCCUAAUCUAAUUAGAAACCCUCCUAAGUGGCU
rnacentral:lncRNA from 1 species